AUUGAACGCUGGCGGCAGGCUUAACACAUGCAAGUCGAGCGGGGAAGGGUAGCUUGCUACCUAACCUAGCGGCGGACGGGUGAGUAAUGCUUAGGAAUCUGCCAUUUAGUGGGGGACAACAUUCCGAAAGGAAUGCUAAUACCGCAUACGUCCUACGAGAGAAAGCAGGGGAUCUUCGGACCUUGCGCUAAAUGAUGAGCCUAAGUCGGAUUAGCUAGUUGGUGGGGUAAAGGCCUACCAAGGCGACGAUCUGUAGCGGGUCUGAGAGGAUGAUCCGCCACACUGGGACUGAGACACGGCCCAGACUCCUACGGGAGGCAGCAGUGGGGAAUAUUGGACAAUGGGCGGAAGCCUGAUCCAGCCAUGCCGCGUGUGUGAAGAAGGCCUUAUGGUUGUAAAGCACUUUAAGCGAGGAGGAGGCUACCUAGAUUAAUACUCUAGGAUAGUGGACGUUACUCGCAGAAUAAGCACCGGCUAACUCUGUGCCAGCCGCCGCAGUAA
rnacentral:rRNA from 1 species